UGUUUAAAAAUUGUUUUAUAUAAUAUAUACUAUUUAUAUUUCAGUUUUCAUUUUUAUUUUCACCACAAAGAAACAAGAACCAUUGUAAUUAAUUAAUUUAAAUUGAUAUUAAAUACAGAGGCAAAAUCUGUAAAUAAAAAGAAAUACAGAAAAGAAGUGCUUAAUUUAUUGUAAAUACAAUAUCUAAAUGUGUAAAUAAAAAAAAAUAUUUAAUCUGUUAUCCAUGUUUUCAAACAAUUUCCAUUUAUCAUGUUAUCCAUGUUUCCAAACAGUACCAAAACGUACUUCGGUUUUAAUAAUAUAGAUUGGUUAGAUAUCCGAUCAGGUUCAAAAUUUUGAUAUCUAGAGAACCAUAACGGAACCCAAUCCGAAACGAAAUAUUUCGGGUAUCCGUAUAUAUUCAAACCAGAUUUAUAGACUUAAAUAUAUUAAUUAUUUUUAAAUUUAAUAUCUAAAAGAAUAUACAAGAUGUUUUUAAGUUGUCCAAAAUGCUUGAAAAUAUAUACAAGUAGUUAAAAGUAAAUGUUUAAAUAGUUUAACGAUAAUCAAAAUACUAAACCCAGAUUUUAUGCUAAGUUUAAGUAUUUUUGGCAUAUAUUAUCUAUAUGUUAUAUAUUAUUUUUAUUUUUAGAUUUUGAGAAAUUAAAGUACAUAUAAACUUUAUUUAAAAAAGAAAUUAAAUGGAUUAUCCGAAUUCAAAACCCAAACCGAACCCGUAAAAAUCUGAACCGAAUCAAAUCUGCAAAGAUCCUAACGAAACCGAACCGAACCAAAUGAUACAUGAAUGCCCGUAUAAAAAAGUUAUUGACAACAAAAUAUGUACUAUUUCUAAUAUUUAAAUAAAACAUAUUUAAAAAAUUCACCCCGCGGAUUAUUAUGUAGUGUAGUCAUAUUUUUAAAGCAGGAAAUUGCAUGUACUUUUGUGUCUAUAUACACGCGCAUGCAUGAAAAAAACAGAGCAUAUGACAAUGUACUGUUUUCUACAAAAUGCUCUUUCUGUAAAACUGAUAUUUUCAAUUGUAUAUACUUAUUCAAUAAAAAAGUUAUGCCAGCAUGCUCAGAAUUAAAACACACGUAAAAUACAUUUUCUGAUCCAUGCAUACGCCGAUACGCGUGUAUAUCAUUGAGUAAAUGUACAUGCAAUAGCGCAUGCACACGAUUACAAAUUUACAAUGGACGUUGCAGUUGGAUUAGUUCAUGUUUCCUUUUAUAUAGACUGGGUUAUACAAGACCGCUUGAAUCUUUUUUAAUUGCAUUUUUAAACCGCUGGAUCUUUUUUUUUAAUACAAGGAAAUUCAGGACUGAAGUCCGUAAUCUCUAGACCCCAAACCAGAAAAUAUAAUAUUAGUUUCGUAUUGAGGAUCCUUUUCAAUUGAGCCGAUGACCUCUUUUUUUUUCAUAGACAACACAAAUGGUGUUUGUGAAGUGACUCUUCAUCUUUUGAAAUUAUAUAUAUAUAUGUAUGAAGUGUAGAGUACAAAGACUAGUGUGAGACUUUAAAAUAUUGACAGGAGGGAGGUGCCUCUGUCAAUGCUACAAGAUUUGAUAAAAUUAUUUCAUCAUAUUUAGAGCAGAAAACUGCAUGUAUUUUUGUAUCUAUAUAAACGCGCAUGCAUGAAAAAGAGAGAGCAUAUGCGUGAAUACGUUUCUGUUAUCCCUCUUUAUAAGAAAACAAAACGAUUGUCAUUUUUGUCAUUUUAUCCAUUAGACUAUAUUUGCGAAGUGAUUUUUUUAAAUUUGCUUAGCUGUCAUCUUCAUAGACACUUUCACCAAAAAAAAUCAUGACAUGGCACAAUAAGAUAUAUGACAUGGCUUAUAAAAAAGAUGACAUGGCUAAUUGAAAACUUAAAACCCUAACAUUAUGUCUAGGAGAUAUAUAUAUGAGUCUUACACAAAACGUAUUACAUCGAUUGCGAAAUAACUUCAUAACUUUACCUAGCUAAACUUAUUAUGUCGUCCCGUGAUAACAUGCAGCCGUCCACAUAUGUCUUCAAUUAAAAAAAAAAUGUAUUUCAUAAUCUUUCUUUCCGUUAGCUUUUUGUAUACUAAGUUUGACCCUAUUUUGUUUUUUUAUGCCGGAUCUGUACACAUGGAAGUAUAAGUCAUCUUCAAAGCAUAAGACUGUCACGUAUUUGGUGAAUGGUGUAAGUGAUUUUUUUUCCUGUAACUUGAUCGUGUUUCCAACAAAAUUGAUGAUUUUAGCAAGACUAAAGUCGAUGUACGGUUUGAAUAUAACACCAUGAUGAUGACAUUUACAGUCAGAGAAAAACUCAGUCAAAUUUCUUCAUGAGCAAGUUAAAUCCAAGUUUACGGUUUGAAUGGAAAAUAAUAAGUUAAGUCAUGAAAGUGUAAAACUCAAGUCUUCGGAUUGGUGUGCCAAGAAUAUUGUUUUGUUAGAUCCGAAAGCUAAAGCGUGGAAACCAAAAUUUGAGAUAUGAAGAAUAUUAUCAAUUGUAUGCUUUUAUUGAUUUCUUUAUUCAGUUCUUUUAGCAUUUAUUUUAACUAUAGAACCUUAAAAAAAUGCAUCACGUAACAAUUCAUUGUUUCUACCAUUUUCUUUAUUGCAAAUUGAUACCAUGUUUACAAAUCAUGACGUAAGUAAUCUAUGAAUAUAUUAUUUACAAGACAAUUUGCCUUUCCUACAAGAUAUGUCCAUAUUUUUCUCAUUAAUGAUUGACAAUGAAUGGAAUGAAAUCAUGAUUAACAAUAUAUUUUGUUUUCACAUACCAAUUAUUAAAUAGACAACUUAAUCUAUGAAUAUUAAUGAGUUUUCAUAAUAUCAAGUAACAUAUAUUUCGGAUUGCAUAGACUAAAGAUAUAUUGCCUUUUCAAAAACAUUAGUUAUAUUGUAGUGAUAAAGGAAGGAAAUCAAUAUGAAAAAUAUAUGAUUCAUGUAUUCAAUGACGUGAAUGAAUAUCAACUAUGUUAUAUAUAUGUAUAUAUCAUUCACAAUAUGUUAGUUGACAAAAUUUUAACUUUGCAAUCAUUUUUUAACAAAGCUUUAGGCCAUGUGUGACAAACCUAAAAAUUUAACCAAAAGAAAUUGAUAAAAAGUUUAAUCUAAAAUUAUGAUUUUAAAUAUAUACAUAUAUAUAUUCUUAAAUAUUAUUUAAAAUAAAAAAAAAUUUCUCUGAAUUUUUUGCUUAAUUAAAGCAAAUUUAUAUUAAAUAUUGGUCAAAAUAAUAACAUAUAUAAUAUUAAUAAAUUUCAUUUUAAAAUAUAAUUUAAAUUUUAAAAAAUUCAUCACAUGCAAACACCUAGUUAACUUAAAAGUUCAAGUACAAGAAAACUGAGGCUUACAGUAAAGCCAGACGAAAUAUAAAAUUACACAAUCUAAAUUCCAAAGCAGGCCCAACCAGACCCAGAUAGAAGAAAGACUAAUCGGCCACGCGGAGGGAAGACGAGCCAACAUGCAGCUCGAAGACACGUGAUAGUCGCAUAGCGAGGUGGACACACAUGUCCUUGAAGGUCAAAUCCCACGGCUUACUACUGUCGAGUACUCAGAGAUCGUCAUCGGAGCUCCGAUUCACCGGAGAACCUAUGAUCCGAAGCAAACUAACGCCCAAAACUAGAACAGGGAUAGCCAAAGGACCUCGCUUCAACAAAAGAAGAUUCUGAUGUAUAUAAUCGAUCUAAAAACAUUAGAUUUCCCUGAAAUUAAACAACAACAUCUUUAAAGAUUUAAUAAGUCCAAAGAUGACUCGACCAAUCCAAGAGGAGGGAGGAACAAUCCGAUCUUCAGAUCGAUACACAAGUGAAACUAAGGGACGAAUAGAGAAGCGCAGGCAAGGAAAAAAAUACAUUUGCUGAUCCAUUCCGUGCAUACGACUGCAUGUAUAAGACCAUCAUUAACCUCAAUCUCUUAACUAGGGUUCUUAGCUUCGGCUACGAGACGGUUCUUAGCUUCGGAUAAGAGACGGUUCUUAGCUUUUUUAGAUUUUAACUAAGAAAAGUUAAAACCCGUCUCCUAAAUAAAAGAUAAGAGCCGUUUCUUAGCUGAAAAGUGUAAAAAAACACCAAAAAAAAAUAAAAAUGUGUCAAAUCAUAAAUUAAGAACCCCGGCUAAAAGACCAGAGAUAAUCAUGCCAUAAUAAUCUCUCGCUGAUUACUGCAUAGAAGCGUAAAACUACAUGCAACCGCAUGAACACAAUUAUUUGGAAGUUUUCAAACAAGUUUCUUGAUAUGUAAAUAUAUAAAGAUAAAUUGCACCGUGUAUUAAAAUCAAAUUUGAGACGAGUCUCUCUCUCACCUCCGUUCUCUCUCAAAAAUCUUUCACGGAGGGGGAUGAUGAGAGUACUCGAUCCUUUUUGGUUUUCUGAUCUUUUGAUCAGAUGAUGGUCUCUUGGAAGCGGUGGUUCACAUAACCUCGUCUUCGCCGGCUUUCGUCUCCGGGAAGUGGUGACCUUUUCACCGCUUACGGCGGCUCUCCAUCGUAACCUCCCGAUUCCGAUACGAUCAGCGCUUCUCUUGGUCUCGUGCUCAAUUGAUUCUCCUUCUCAGCCUUUGAUUUUGGAUUCCUUUCCUUGGUUAAGGUGAUUUUCAUCUUCGGGCUCCUCCUCCAUCAUUAAAGAUGAUCGGUGUUCAUGCAGGAAUCUCAAAGGUUUGGGUUUGAUUGAAGUCGUUUGAAGUUUCAUUGAAGCGUUUGAUCUGUCAGAUUCGACCCUCGACUGGUCGGAGUUGAGAGCCGUUCGGUUGAACGGAUUCUCCUUCGUUUAUGUUUUGCCGAUGGCGAAGCUCCGUCGUGCCGUCUCUCUGGCACCGGAGGAAGAGAUCUGUCUCGCGUCUUGACGCUUGCUGGGAAAUCGAUCAUGUGGUGGAAGCUUGAAGUUUUCUUCCCCAACGGUUUUUCUUUUGGGUUUACGGCCCAGAGGUUUUUACGUGUAAUGGCCCAUUGUUUAGGCCUUCUGUUUUUUCCUUUUUGUAUUGGGCUUCGUUCUCUGUUGGGCUUGUCCCUUUAAUAAAUCUUAAGUUGACAAAAAAAAAUAUCAAAAUUAUAAUUUAAUAUCUAACCAAUUGACUUAAGUUUCACACAUCAUACAAUACAAUAAGUAAAAGGGAUUGAGCUCGCCUUUUUAGCCUAUCCACGUGGGAUUGAAAAUUCAGGCCAAUCAAAGGAUCCCUUCAUGCCACAUCAGCCUAGCUUCAAGUUAUAUGUUACAUAUAAUUCUACCGAUUAAUUUGUGUUGGAUUCGGCCGCAAAUAAACAUAACUUUUUUUAAUUGCCCAUUCAAAAAACCAAUUAAAAUAACUCUAAAUGGCCCAUAUGAAACCCAAACCUCCGUCAAACCUGAUUUCCAGAGCACUGCUAUUCUUUUACUUCCGUUCUAAAUCCCUCUCCAACCGUUUCUGAGUAGUAAUCACAAUCUACUCUUAAUUAUACAUUUAUGUACAUUACUAUUAUCUUCAUUAGCGAAGAAAUCCUUCCACAUCCCUCUCUUGCUCCUCCUAUAUUAACCCAUUGUUAAGGCUUUCACGGAAUCAUAUUCAACAGAUUCAAUGGAUGGCCAUGAAAUCAGUUCAAUCCUCCGGCAAGUCUCCUCUUGCAUUGUAUUUAACGACAUCGGAGGCCAUAAAUGCUGCGAAAUAGAGGUCCUGUUAGAGUUUUGAUUCGUCACCGAAGCUUCAAAAAGAAUUCAAACGUCCUCAGCCAUGGUGAUUACAUAAGUUCAGAGGAUUAUGAACAGCCAAUGUGGCUCCAGAACUCCAUUUUAGGUUUCUUCAAAGUGUAAGCUCCAAAACCGUGAAUUUCCAUUUUAGGUUAUGGGUGCGUCUUUUUCAUUCGUCUUCUUCUCUGUACUUGUGGUGAAGAAAGAUUGAUCAAGAUUGGCCUAUUUCAGCAUAGAUAUCUUAUGAUUGAAGGAAUAAUUAACGUAAGUGAUCAUAUAUUAUUUUUUAUUCUCUAGCUAUGAAUUUGUUGCUCACGGAGCUCCAUAAUCAUAAACUAUGUAAUUCCUAGCUUACUUUUCUUAUAAAACCGAGUUUGAAGACAUCUGUGACCAUCUCUAUAAUUCAGUCUCUAUAAAAUAAUAGGUCAGUUAAAUACUUUGACCUAUCUUGCCAGACAAGUAAAAAAAUAAAGCAUUGACUGUUUUAAUUUUCGGUAUUCUUUGUAGUAGAGAAUGUAGAUCCUUCCGAUCACCAUGAUUAUUUGCUUUGAUGAGCGACUAUGACUUCCGUACGUCUGGAGUUCUGGUGAUUCUAAUUCCAGUUCAUGCGAACUUACCGAAGGAGAGAGAUUUGGAGAAGCUGAUGCUCUACGACGGUGUCACGUGGCAGGAGAAGUUGGGGAGGGGUUUGUUCAACUCGCUCCUCUGAGUUGGGGCUAUGUCGGUCAUCCACAUCCUCAUCCCAACUCAUAUCUUCGUCGCUAAUUGCAAAAAUCCAUAACCUUUCUUUGACACGGAAAACUGUGCCCCUUUGUUCACCGGCCAUAAACCAAAUCCCUGGCAAGUGGAACAAUCAUCAUUACAAACAAAGGUCAAUGUAUUUUCUUCUUUUUUUCCUUAAGUAGUUCAAACUUUCUCUAUAUGCAUAAGUUUUAUGUCUAAAUGAAGAUGAACCCAAGAGUAGUGGAAUAUGGGAACUGAGUGUCUAAGAGUUUCACCUAUGCCAGCGAUGGGCACAGAGAACAGCCAUGUGCUGAAAUGGCUACGCUGUCUGCAUUUUAUUUUAAGAAAUAGAUAAAGAUAAUGAGGAGAAGAGUGGACAGCAUAGAUGUCUGAGACUCCAAGGGUCCAAUUAACACAUUCAAAAACUAAACGUACAUAAUGUAUUUGUCUUUAAUUUCUUUCUUAUUCUUUUCUCUUUAUUCUGUGGGUUUUUGUUGUUCUUGCGAUUAGGGUUCUUGGUCUACUUUAAGUGUAUUGAUGGAGUGAUGGAAUCUUUCAGUGACUAAUUCAGCAAUAAGAUAGUCUGAGCAGUUCAUCUCUAUGUCUGUUAGAUUGGCUUACCAUUCAAUGAUCCUGCAUAAUUUUUUAGCCAACUUCUUGUGUUUUCUCUCCUGAUGUUCGAGUCACAAAGAGUCAGAAUGAGACUGUUCAAAAAUCAUAGAAUAUGUUUUUAGGCUUCAGAUAUCAAAUGUGUUACUUUGAUUCAGGGGAAGUGUUCUGAGCAUCCACUUUAGUUUCUUAAAUGCAGUGUUUGUUUAGCAUACGCUUUAGUUUCUUAAAUGCAGAAACAAAGAGAUAGGGCACCUACAAGUUUGAUUUAGAUUUGUCGCACAUGGGCUUUGUGAUAGAGUUUGCAAUUUCCUCAGUUUCCACGUCUGUAGAUAGAUAUUUGGCAUCUAUCACUUUGGCAAGUGGAAGCUCUCACGAAAGGAUAUCUUGAUGGGGCUGAAACUUCUGAAUCAGAUGAUUUACCUUAAAAUUGUGCUAGUAAUAGUGGCAGCUUUAUCCAAUCACAUUAAACUUAUGCAUACUCUUUUGUUAUAUGCACGGAACAAAUGGAAUAAAACAAUACACUCCGUAAGAAAUUAUGUGGUUUAACCUUUACUUAUAACAUUCCACCACUUCAAAUUUUAAUUUUCGUCUCAAUGUGCUUUUGCUUCCCCCUUCCCCUCCAUCCUGCCCUUCUAUAAGUCAUUUAAUCUAAUUGGUAAAAGUUCGAAAUGUAACAAUAAUUUCAAGAAUAGGAAAUAAAUAUUUAUAAAAUAAUUAAGAUUUUGCUCAAAAAAUUAAGAUAUUUUUCAAAUCAAAAUUAUAAAUUUUAUAGACAAGCAAAUUAUAAUUAUAAAUUUUAUAUAAUAACUAGAUAAUAAUUCGCGUCGUCUGCAGAGUGAAAUAAUUGAUUAGAUUAUUUAUUUUAUGAUGUAAUAAAAUAUUUGUCGUAUAGCUUUUUCAAGGGAUGGGCAUUUAGAUAUCCGUUCAGAUUCAGUUAAUUUAUUCGGAUUUUGAUUUUUAGAGUUAGAAAUUUAAAUACGAUUCAGAUAUUUAAGAAAUUUGAUUUGAAUUUGGAUUAGAGGUUUGAUUUGGGUUCGAGUUCAUGUGCCUAUUUUAAUUAUGUAAUUUAUAAACAAAAAUUCAAAUAUACUUAAUCCUCAAAAUCCAAAAAUAGAAAUAAUAUAAAAAAUUCAUAAAAAUAAUUCAAUUUAAAUAUUUAGAUGGAGAAAAAAUAUAUUUAAGUAUUUUAAACAUAUUUUGCUAUUUUAGAUAUUUUUAUAUUAAUUAAUAUCUAAUAUAUAUAAAAUUUAAAAUAACUAAUAUAUUUAAGUAUAUAAUUGUGCUUUAGAUAUUUUCGGUAUCCAAAAUAUUUCAUUUUGGAUUGGAUUCGGGUCUGGUUAUCCGGGAUAUUAAACUUUUAGAUCCAUUUGAGUAGUUAACCAAUUUUAGUUUGUGUUUAGUAUUACUUUCAAAUCACGUUUGGUUCGGUUCUUCAGAUAUAAUAAUGUGGUUAUACUUUUCUCCACAACCGGUGUAAUCUGCAACAAAAAAAUUAAUUAAUAACUAGAUCUUGAUCCAUGCAACCACGCAGGUGUUUGCUUUCAUUUUUAUAUACAUAGAAUAUUUAUUUUAAAUCAUUAGUGGUAUACAUUUUUAACGUUAAUCAUAUAUUUAUAUAUUUAUAUAAGUAUUUCAUAUAUAAUAAUUUAAUAAUUUUAUAGUUUAUAUGUUUUAGUUAAAUAAUUAUUGAAAAUUAUCAUAUGUAUUUAUUUCUUCUUAUUAUAUAUCUUAGAAAAUUAAUAUAUGUAUGAAACAACAUAUUAGAAAAUUAUUUUAUAUUUAAUGUAUGCUAAAUUCUGAUCCACAUUUCAAAGCUGGAUUUUUUUUAGCAAUAUUUUUUUAU